rnacentral:lncRNA from 1 species
AUGGAGCUGGAUUCUAAACAGAAAGUCUCCGCUGACUGUGUUCUUCAAGCUGCAAAGACACAUCAAGAUUCAAUGAUUUUUGAAAACCAUGGAAGCAGAGGUACUGCCCAGCCUUGCCCAAGAUGUAUUGCUGGAGAAUCUGGACACUUCAACCAUAUUCUGGGCUUCUAGAAAUUGAGAGAUGGCAAAUCAGCAACACUCUUUGCAUUCUAAGGAUGCACAUGUGAACACUGUACUGCUGGAUAUCUGUACCUCCAUUCUACUACUGGCGUGGAUUUGUGUGUGUUAUUAAGCAUAUAGCAGUUUGCUGUAUGCGUUACUCUUUCAUUGCACUGUUCUGUAUAUCGUUGUUUUUACACUUGAAAAAUACUUCUGCUUUUAAGAUAGCUCAGUAUGUGGGGAAAAAGUGACGCUAAGCUUGGUUUAACUUUUUAGAAUAGUUUAGUUGAUUUGGCUUUUGGCCCAGUCUUUACCUGGGACUGGGCCAAAGGCAGUGUUGAUACAAGACACUUUCCUGUCUCUCUUACGUGCUUUCCCUGAUAGAUCUGGGGAGUGAUCCUUGCGUUUACAUGGAUACAGGGCCUGCAGUUGAACCUGAGCUGUACAUAAGCAGGCAGAAAUGGGAGGACUCUCUUCAGUUUCACAGAGAGACCUGUGCAGCUUUGCACCUGUACAAAGGACAGUUAAAGUCCUAUUGAAGCCUACGCUUUUUGAAAUUAAAAUAUGCAUCCAAUUCAGGUAUCUUAUAUGUUAAACUUUUAUUUUUUUUAACAAACGCAGUGCGUGAAUGUGGCGGGUAAGCAGUUAAUAGAAGAAGCAAGAUUAUUUGAACAACACUCUGUAAUGCAAAUGAACGGUGAUUCAGCUCUAUGCGAUGUUCUCAAAGCUGUUAAAG